AAGGUUCCACAAACUCUAGGAUCUUCUGGAAGUGUCAAGGAUGCUGAAGACUGAUAGAAAUCCCAAGGACAUCUUUGUUUCUUCCUCUCCUUGAGUUUCUUUUUCAAUGCAUCUUAAGGUCGCACAGGGAGUGAAAAGCAAAGACCUGCAACAACUUUACUGCUCCAAGCUGCCCUCCCUGUAACCAUGGAAACGAGACCAGGGACUAGAGCUGGGCCUGGGGCACAAGGGGGCCUUGCUGCCUGCAAGAACGGCCGAGGACUUCCCUGUGCUCCCGUGGCGACAGCGUGCACGGGUUGGAGCCAAGUCGCCCGCCACCCCGCGGCCACCAGCGGUGCCGCCUCUGCCUUCUCGGGGCUCGGCCCCGCCCCGCGCCCCGGAACCCUGCUGAGGGCCCCGGGCGUGUCGCUGAGCUGACCGCGGGACCCCCGGAGGCGGACGGCGAGGCAUGGCGACGCGGGCCCGCGGCUUCUCGCUGCUCCGGGGCCGUCUGGGCCGAGGGCCUGUGCGAGCCCCGGGCGUCGCCGAGCGCGCGUGGCGCGGCUUCGGGAGCAGCGGCCGGAGGGCCAGCAGAGAGAAGAGACUCCAUCUUCCAGAGGUGGUCUGUCUCCCUUUGGCGUGUCCUUGCACCACAGUCUGUGAGAUAAGACACGAAGCCGUUAUCAUCUCAGGAACUAACAUGGCCAAACAGAUCCAGAAGGAGAUACAGCAAGGAGUGGAAUCAUGGAUCGCUCUCGGGAACAGGAGGCCCCAUCUGAGUAUCAUUUUAGUGGGAGAUAACCCAGCAAGCCACACCUAUGUCAGGAAUAAGAUAAAAGCGGCUUCUGCUGUAGGUAUCUGCAGUGAGCUCAUCAUAAAGCCCAAGAAUGUUUCUCAGGAGGAACUGUUGGACAUCACUGAUCAGCUGAACAUGGAUCCAAGAGUCAGCGGUAUAUUAGUUCAGCUUCCACUCCCAGACCAUGUAGAUGAGAGAACAAUAUGCAAUGGAAUUGCUCCAGAAAAGGACGUUGAUGGAUUUCACAUUAUCAAUAUUGGACGACUGUGCCUUGACCAGCAUUCACUGAUCCCUGCCACUGCCAGUGCCGUUUGGGAAAUCAUCAAAAGAGCAGGAAUCGAAACAUUUGGGAAAAAUGUGGUCGUGGCGGGAAGAUCCAAGAACGUGGGCAUGCCGAUUGCCAUGCUGCUGCACACGGACGGAGAGCACGAGCGUCCUGGAGGUGAUGCAACGGUGACGAUAGCGCACAGAUACACCCCCAGAGAACAACUGAAGGCCCACACUCAACUAGCAGACAUCAUCAUAGUGGCUGCGGGUGUGGACUUUGGUGUGAGCCAGGGAUGGAGAAAAGAACAGUAGACAAGCUCACCCAUUUAAAGCCUCCAUCAGAAUGUCAAGAACUGUCACUAUAGAGCCAAGAGCAGAAGCAAAGAGAAAAGCUAUUAUGAUUUCAUUUAAUGGAUCCAAGGUAUUCCCAGGUUGAUUACAGCUGACAUGGUCAGAGAAGGUGCGGCAGUAAUUGAUGUGGGUAUCAACUAUAUACAAGAUCCUGUGACGGGAAAGACCAAGUUAGUUGGAGAUGUGGACUUUGAAGCUGUUAAGAAGAAAGCCAGCUUCAUCACUCCAGUCCCAGGAGGUGUGGGACCCAUGACCGUGGCCAUGCUUCUUAAGAACACACUUUUAGCUGCAAAGAAUAUCGCCUACUAGAUCACAGCGGGGAGUACACGAAACGAAUUCUGCUGCUUACUCAUUUGACAACCGGCAAAAUCCUCUCUAUUUUCCUACAAAGCUAUUUAUUUCUACAUGUAUUUAUUUUUUCAUGAGUGGAAUCAUUCUGGAACUGAUUGUUCACAUGACUUUAUGGAUUUCUUGCUAAUAGAUUUGAGUCUUAAGAAAAAAACUCGAAACAAUCCCAAUGACAAUUGUGGUAACAACUCUUUAUUUUAUGGAUAUUUGUUCAUAAUGUUAAAACAAACGAAGACUUCAUAUUUAAUAUAUUUUUUACAUAACCUAAGUAUUACACACUGUAUGUUUAAAAAAAAACUGUUUUGCCAGCUCAAUGAGUGCCGUGUAAACUGUAACUUAGGUUUUGUUAUAACUAUGAUUUUCUAUAUAGUCUCUACUCUAGCUUGUCUGUGGAGAAGAGUAUUCUACAAGGCAAUCCUGUGCAAAAAUUUAAGCAAUGGAAGCGAUUCCAAGUAGCAAAGGCUGCAACAACACUUGAAACUCUAAGAAUGCUUACUUUGUGUAGUGUAAGGCCACCCGCGUUAGGCUCCCACACCAUUCAGUUCAGUUCACUGAUGAUGUUAGCAAACUCGCCAAACAAAUGAAUGGACAAAGUCAAACUAAAGCAUUUCCCCACAAACAUCAACCAAAUACAAUUCAAAUAUAGCAUGAAUGAAUCUGUCAUUAAGUAACUGUGAUAUAUUUAUUUAUUCAUGGGAGCAGAAAUCUGAUAGAAUUAUAAGGCAGUAAUUUUGUUAAAACUGAACCCUUGGAUAUAACGAAUAGCUAGUUCUUGUACACACACACAUCUUCUCCUUCCUAGGAUAGCAUCUGAUUCCUAACACAGAUGCUGGGUUUCUAAUGCAAUUUCAAAUUGGGAAAUGUGUGUGACCAUUAUUUGAAGAUUAUUUAACGACUAGAGCCAUGUAAUUGUACUGUGUUUCACUCCCAAAUCCCAGUUUGUUUGUGUACUAAUAAUGAUCCUUGUUCAAUGCACGUCUUUAUCAGUGUGCCUCUUGUGUGGAAAUAGACUAGCUGUUUAUCACUAAUAUCUCAAGUGUCCAAUAAAAGCAUUUUGAAGAAGAA